rnacentral:rRNA from 1 species
CGGGGCUGAAACAUACUACCGAAGCUUAGGAAUUGAUGAAUGUCAAUUGGUAGAGGAGCAUUCUUAACGGGGCGAAGCUGUACCGGAAGGAGCAGUGGACUGUUAAGAAGAGAGAAUGCCGGAAUGAGUAGCGAGAGGAAGGUGAGAAUCCUUCCGGCCGAAUAUCUAAGGUUUCCAGAGUAAAGCUGAUCUGCUCUGGGUAAGUCGGGGCCUAAGGCGAGGUCGAAAGACGUAGUCGAUGGAUAACAGGUAAAGAUUCCUGUACUAUAUCAUAACAGAACUGUGGGGACGCAGACAGAGAGCAUAAGCCGGGAAUGGAAAAACCGGUACAAGC